CAAAUGGGGUGCCGUUGUAUAGGCAUUCCCCUAUCAUUGCUAAGAAUAAUACUACUCCGCCUUUCAAAAUGAAGGCUGCUACUCAUUUAAGUUCAAGUAAUCAUGUUACUGGUGCAAACAAAGAAGCAAAUUCAAGAGAAAGGAAAUAAAGGCCUCCAUUUCAGCUUCAGAGCCACAGAGUUCAUAUAGACUCAGAGAAAGGUGAUAUGAAGGACUGUGGAGUGAUGGUGGCAGUCUUUAACCUUGGUGUAUUACAGAGCAAGAUGGAUGAAAUUUUGCUCCUUAGAAGAGGUGCCACUUUGACUGGUAUAUAUUUGCCUUGGAAAAUCCUAGUUUAUAUGUAGAGGUUAAUUGCUCAUAUGAGAGUACUAUCACCAAUAAGAAAACUUAUCAAUACAUACUGUGGAUGGAGAACUUCAUAUUACACAGCAAGGGGUGGUUUGUUGCAACUACAAAGAAUGAAAGGCAUGAGCCCAGCCACACACCAAGGGGCUGGCUUUACAGGGACGGCAUUGUUGCCAUGAAUUCUUCCCCCUUGCUGUCCUGGUACCAGGAGCUAUGUAGGCAUUAUAAACAAUCCCAGUAUGAUUCCCAGAAUUGGUGUGACAUAGCUUUUUUCAUCAUGUAGACUAGUAUGGUAGUUGAUUUUUUUCAGCUAGUACUUGAAGCAAAUUUUCUCACUUGGACAAUGUCCAGUCGCUGAAAUUUACAGAAAAUAAGUAGCUAAAACCAUUACGUAAUGUAAUUUGGAGGUGAAUGAUUGUACUGCUGAAGGGUUUUGCUUAUUAUUGAUGUAUUUUACUUAGCUGAAUGUAAAAUCUUGAAAGUAUUUGAAAUAUUAUAGACCUGAAAAGAACCUUAAACACUUAGGUACUUGAGGAAAUUCUGAGUUUCCUCAUGAUUUGGCCAGCAGUCAGAUUUUUCCAUUUCCACUUAGAUUACAUGGAACAAAGUUGCUUCAUAAUUAUGACUGAUAAAGAAAUAAAAUGGAUUUUAUAUUUUGAACUUGAGUGAUCUAAGACCAUCUUUGGCAUUGAGUUCAUAAUUCCUUUGAAAAACUUUUGGCAUUCAAAUUAUUACUUUAAGUUAUGCUUGCUUCUUAGUGCAAACAGUGGAACACAGGUCUGUGUUCUGUGAUGAAUGUCAGAAUUUGGUGCAGACCACUUUGCAGUUGAGAAUACUUUUGGCUCUGGAAAGUUUCCACAUUUAACUGCAUUUUUAUUUGACUUGGUAAAGGUUAACUGCUAUUUUUUUUUUCUUUUUUGAUAUUGCUUAUGCCUUGUAAGUUUUGUCUUUGUAGUUUGGUUUCUGAGACAACUUCAGUUGUCAUGUUUAAAUCCUUUGGGAUUGGUGUGUCUUACUGCUUGUUGAUAAAUGAUUCCUUGGUUACUGUUGCUGCAGCCUCUGCUCCUGACAUCAACGAAAGGAAACCACUUGGUCUCAUUCACUAAAAAUGAGAUUUAUUUAACUGGAAUUGGAAGUUGUUUCUUUGGUGCUGGAUGUAUUUAUUAUUAGUAAGAUUUUCUUGCAGGUUACUAAUGUUCAUUUUCAGAUAUUUGCAGUGGCUUCUUUGUCAAUUUCAUGAGCCAAGACUGGGAGUGUUCAUCAGGCUAGUUUUAUUCCAGUUAGGCUGUUUAGAAUUGCAGCUGCAUGUUUAGCAGAUUAUAUUAAACAGUUGUAGAAAGUAGGCAGUUUGUGAUAGGUGGUUUCAUUAUGUGAUGCCACGAGUAUAAGUAUUUGAUAUGUGGAUGCUUCGCAAUUGUGGCAAUUUAAUGGAUAUUGGUUCCCUUGAAUUUGGCUUGUUUUUGUAGAGUAGUUUCUGUAUUAGAAUGGUUAUAUUUUGCAGUUCAUUCGAGCUUUAUGAGCUUGGUAUGAUAAACUGUACAUACAUGAAAUAAGCAUUCAUGUCCCUGGUGAUGACUGGACUUAAUGGUAAAUGGGAAAAUGUCUGAGUAUUAGUUACAUAGGUUCUUGUUCAAGUUCCGUGACAUGUAGCCUCAUUUGGGUUCCUGUGCAUUGGUCUUAGGCCUCGUCCACACGGUCGAGCUUUGGUCGACGAACUUUGUCCGAUGUGACGUCAGAAGCGUAAAAACAGCGAGAAAACGUCAGAACUUUGCCGCGGUUUCUCCGCUUCUGACGUCACAUCGAACAAAGCUCGGCCGUGUGGACGGGGCCUUACUUAUGCAGUUAUUGUGGAGACCACAUAAAGUAAUAAUGAAUUUAAUUUACAUUAAAUUGGCUGGAGAUUCAGAUGAUUCCUUUUGAAGGCAAAUUAAAGAUGUCCUUGCUAGGUAGCAAGGAAUAUCUUCUAUGUAACAAAUUGGCUGGUCCUGAAUUUAGUCUCUCUUGUCACUGGAAACAUCUCCAAGAUAUUGAUACUUUGGUAAAUUGUAAAGAUUUAUAGCAAUAGAAAUUCUGUUUCUGUAGGCAUUUUACUUGUAAAAGUAAUUAGAUUAACAGCUGUUUUCUAUUUAUAAGGUGUGAACUCGGUAUAUCUGUUAUACUGUAUCUGUUAGACUGCUUUAGGAAUGUUGCAUACCUUGUGAAACUAAAGUACCCUCAAUACUUGUUGUAAAAUGUUUUUCAGGUAAUCUUUGUAUGCCAUGAUUUUAAUUAAUUUUCCACAAUUUCUUCAAAUUGAUUGUUUGUAUGGUGCUUUUACGUCGCAUGGAAUCAGUGGUUAUUCAGCAACGGGACCAACGACUUUGUGACUUCCGAACCAUGUCGAGAGUGAACUUCUAUCCCCAGAAAUAGACAUCUCUCACUCCUCAAUGGAAUGGUCGAGAAUCAAACCCGCGACCACCGAGGUGGGACGCUAAUACCAUACCAACCACGCCACUGAGGUGCUACAAUUUCUUCAAAUUGCUCAUGACCUUGCAAUGUUUAAGUGGCCUCUGGUCCCUGAUAUUUAAAAAUUCAUACAAUUUUGAGGAGGAGCUGUAAUUUCAUUUAGCAACUUUGCUCCAUUUUAGUCAAGAGGAACUGGAAAUAUUUGAAUGCUACUAUAUAGUUAAAUUGUAACCGAGGCUCAGAUUUUCUUUAGUUCUUCAGUGUUUUAUAAUUGUCUUUGGUUCUGAGGUUUCAAAAUGCCUUUGAGAAUUCAGAAGAGGUCAAAACAAUAUACUCAUCCAUUUACCAAUAAAACUUCGGUAGCACAUUGUUUCAUCUCUGAAGUCAGGGGUUCUAACCACCUAUUGUUUACAACUUGCAGCAUAUGGGAGAUUGUCCAAGCAACCAAAUGUUUACAGUUAAUGAACAAUUGUCAUCUACCAUAUGUUAACUGCAUUAUGGGAUCAGCUCUAAACGAUGCUCGAUAUUUCGUUACUGGAAUUAUUGAAUAUGGUUUUAGUACCAAUACAGUCAGCAAGGCUUUGAUUAGUGACAGUUCAUCUCUAUUUUUGUAUCAUGAAUAAAAUGAAUAUGAAAUUGUUAAUUCUUUUUUUAAGAUAUAUAAAUUUUAAAUUU